rnacentral:rRNA from 1 species
CCUACGGGAGGCAGCAGUGAGGAAUAUUGGUCAAUGGGCGCGAGUCUGAACCAGCCAAGCCGCGUGAAGGAAGACUGCCCUAUGGGUUGUAAACUUCUUUUAUAAGGGAAUAAACUCAGGUACGCGUGCCUGUUUGUAUGUAUCUUAUGAAUAAGGAUCGGCUAACUCCGUGCCAGCAGCCGCGGUAAUACGGAGGAUCCGAGCGUUAUCCGGAUUUAUUGGGUUUAAAGGGUGCGUAGGCGGUUGGUUAAGUCAGAGGUGAAAGUUUGAGGCUCAACUGUAGAAUUGCAAUUGAUACUGGCAGUCUAGAGAGUAGUUGAGGUAGGCGGAAUGCGUGGUGUAGCGGUGAAAUGCUUAGAGAUCACACAGAACUCCGAUUGCGAAGGCAGCUUACUAAGCUGCUACUGACAUUGAGGCUCGAAAGUGUGGGGAGCAAACAGGAUUAGAUACCCGAGUAGUC